UGGGGAAUAUUGCACAAUGGAGGGAACUCUGAUGCAGCGACGCCGCGUGAACGAAGAAGGCUUUCGAGUCGUAAAGUUCUUUUAUAUGGGAAGAUAAUGACGGUACCAUAAGAAGAAGCCCCGGCUAACUACGUGCCAGCAGCCGCGGUAAUACGUAGGGGGCUAGCGUUGUCCGGAAUCACUGGGCGUAAAGGGUUCGCAGGCGGAAAUGCAAGUCAGGUGUAAAAGGCAGUAGCUUAACUACUGUAAGCAUUUGAAACUGCAUAUCUUGAGAAGAGUAGAGGUAAGUGGAAUUUUUAGUGUAGCGGUGAAAUGCGUAGAUAUUAAAAAGAAUACCGGUGGCGAAGGCGACUUACUGGGCUCAUUCUGACGUUGAGGAACGAAAGCGUGGGUAGCAAACAGG
rnacentral:rRNA from 1 species